rnacentral:lncRNA from 1 species
CAUAAAAUAAAAUAAAAUAUGGAUGUGGAAAUUCAUUGCAAUUGAUUGUUACGUUGUUUGUUGAAGAGCAUUGAAAUAUCUUGUAAAAAUGAAUUAAAUUACUUUUUUGUGAUUGUAGUACUUUAACAAGCAUAGUUGAAUGUAAAAUAAGUACAUAAGAACAAUAUAUGUCUUGUAAAAAUAAAAUAAGAAAAAUUUUGUUUUGGAUAUUUGAAAAUUGUUUAAAUAGAACUUCAUAAGUAAUGUUAGGUGCUAAAUAAAAAUAUGUAUUAUUGUAUUUUGUAAAUAGAUAAUAAAUAGUAAAAUAGGAUAUAAAUCUUUAUUCCUCUACCUUUGUUUUGCAUAUUUUUUCAUAUUCACAAAAUCAGUAUAAAAUAAAGAUCACACAGAUAUUCAUUGCAAAAGAAAUAAAAAUAUGAGAACAAGUUG